UGUGAUUUUCUUUAGUUGGAAAAGCUGUCCUGAUUGAAAAAUGACCAAAAUGGGGCAAAUGACUUCUCCAAGGACAAGCAGGAAUGUAAGGAACUCUGCACAAAGAUGUUACAUACUCAUCUCAAUGCAGCAUGAGGGGAAUAUGAGAGCCCUUUUAAGAUUCCUGAGUACCUGGUUCUUCUCCUCGUAUUCGCUGAUUCUGAACAAUCUCCAGAAGUUGCUGGGCUGCUUGGUUGACACUCAUAUACCGAGGAGGUUCAUAGAUCUUUCUUCCCCUGUAAGUGUAAAAGUAGAUGCCACUGUUCUUAGCCAUGAAAUUACAUAAUACAUUUUUAAUGUAAUUAUUCCCCCAGGUAUACUCAAUUACCACAUUCUAUAUUCUGUUUGAAACUGCCACUUGUUACUCACUUUAAGUAUAUCAAUUACCUUUAGUUUCUUAAGCUUUCUUCAUUGUCCUAUUUCAAAUGCUCUCUCAUCUCACUGAAAUGUUGGCAGAAA